AUGUCGCGGCGGGACAUGCAGGACUCACACAACCUCGAUACGGAGAUCUCCGAGGAUGAGAGGAAAACCAAGCUUGGGUCUCCCCAAAGAAGGCGGCAAUCAAUGCCCCAACCAAGAGGGGCCAAGGAGGCAACAACGUCGUAUGACGAAGACAUCAAUACCGAGGAUUCAUAGGCAAUGAAUGUGUUUUGCCAGGUACAUAUCCCAGAAGAGCUUUUGCCAUCUAAACACAACGAUAAAAUCUCAUACUAACAUUUUUAAGGGACAGAGUUUGAUAUUGAGGAGAUAAAGCAA